rnacentral:rRNA from 1 species
GCUGCGAGCGAAGCAGCUGGAAGGAUUCCCAAGAAAAUCCUCUAGGAAGAGAACGUUUGACCGUCUAAACCGACACAGGUGGGUGGGGUGAAUAUCCCAAGGCGCUCGAGUGAACCAUCCUGAAGGAACUAGGCAAUCUAGCUCCGUAACUUCGGGACAAGGAGCGCUCUCUAGGGUGUCAAAGCCCCGGAGAGCCGCAGAGAAAUGGGCCUGCCGACUGUUUACUAAGAACGCAGGUCUGUGCAAAGUCGCAACGACGACGUAUACAGACUGACGCGUGCCCGAUGCCGGAAGGUUAAGGGAAGCGGUUAGCCGAAAGGCGAAGCUGCGAACCGAAGCCCCGGUGAAUGGCGGCCGUAACUAUGACGGUCCUAAGGUAGCGAAGUUCCUUGUCGGGUAAGUUCCGACCCGCAUGAAUCGCGUAACGAGUGGGCCGCUGUCUCCAGGAUGAGCUCGGCGAAAUUGAAGUAGUGGUGAAGAUGCCACUUACCCGCGCCAAGACGGAAAGACCCCGUGAACCUUUACUGUAGCCUAGUAUUGGCUUUUGGCUCGACAUGUGUAGCAUAGGUGGGAGACUUUGAAGCCUGGGCGCUAGCUCGGGCUGAGUCAUCAGUGAAAUACCACUCUUGUCUAGCUAGAAUUCUAACCUCGACCCGUGAAUCCGGGCGGGGGACAGUGUUAGGUGGGCAGUUUGACUGGGGCGGUCUCCUCCCAAAAGGUAACGGAGGAGUCCGAAGGUGCGCUCAACGCGGUUGGCAAUCGCGUGCAGAGGGUAAAGCUAUAAGCGCGCCUGACUGAGAGAGCUAUCGCUCAAUCAGAAACGAAAGUUGGGCUUAGUGAUCCGGUGUAUGCCGUGUGGAAGGGACAUCGCUCAUCAGACAAAAGGUACUCCGGGGAUAACAGGCUGAUCUCCGCCAAGAGUUCGUAUCGACGCGGAGGUUUGGCACCUCGAUGUCGGCUCAUCGCAUCCUGGGGGUGAAGGCGCUCCCAAGGGUUCGGCUGUUCGCCGAUUAAAGCGGUACGUGAGCUGGGUUUAGACCGUCGUGAGACAGGUCGGUCCCUAUCUGGCGUGGGUGCAGGACGAUUGCAGGGAGCUCUCCUUAGUACGAGAGGAUUAGGAGGGACAGACCUCUGGUGUUCCGGUUGUUGCACUAGCAGCAGUGCCGGGUAGCUAUGUCUGGAACGGAUAAGCGCUGAAAGCAUCUAAGCGCGAAGCCAUCCCUAAAACUGGUCGUCCCCAUUAGGGUCCUAGAAGACUACUAGGUUGGUAGGCCGGGCGUGUAAGUGUGUCGACACAUGUAGCGAACCGGUACUAAUAGCCCGAUUGGCUUGACC